rnacentral:rRNA from 1 species
UACGGGGGGGGCAAGCGUUGUUCGGAAUUACUGGGCGUAAAGGGCUCGUAGGCGGCCAACUAAGUCAGAUGUGAAAUCCCUCGGCUUAACCGGGGAACUGCGUCUGAUACUGGAUGGCUUGAAUCCGGGAGAGGGAUGCGGAAUUCCAGGUGUAGCGGUGAAAUGCGUAGAUAUCUGGAGGAACACCGGUGGCGAAGGCGGCAUCCUGGACCGGCAUUGACGCUGAGGAGCGAAAGCCAGGGGAGCAAACGGG